GACGAACGCUGGCGGCGUGCUUAACACAUGCAAGUCGAGCGGAGCGGCGAACGGGUGAGUAACGCGUGAGUAACUGCCCCCCUCUCUGGGAUAACAGUUGGAAACGGCUGCUAAUACCGGAUAGUGGGGGAUGACUCGGGUCCUAUCAGCUUGUUGGUGGGGUAGUGGCCUACCAAGGAGACUAAGGGUAGCCGGCCUGAGAGGGCGACCGGCCAAAAGGGGCUGGGAAACAGCCCAAACUACUACGGGAGGCAGCAGUGGGGAAUAUUGCACAAUGGGGGAAACCCUGAUGCAGAAACGCCGCGUGCGGGAGGACGGCCGUCGGGUUGUAAACCGCUUUCAGACAUGACGCGGUAGUGGCAGAAGAAGCACCGGCUAACUACGUGCCAGCCGCCGCGGUAAUAC
rnacentral:rRNA from 1 species